rnacentral:rRNA from 1 species
UACGAAGGGGACUAGCGUUGUUCGGAAUCACUGGGCUUAAAGCGCGUGUAGGCGGCCUUGUAAGUCCGUUCUGAAAGCCCGGGGCUCAACCCCGGGAGGCGGAUGGAUACUGCAAGGCUCGAGUACGGAAGAGGCGAGUGGAAUUCCCGGUGUAGCGGUGAAAUGCGUAGAUAUCAGGAGGAAUACCGAUGGCGAAGGCAGGUCUCUGGGCUGACACUGACGCUCAUGCACGAAAGCGUGGGGAGCAAACAGG